UUGGCUGAGGACGACGCGGGCUCUUUAAACGGCCCUCCGUGUGUCUCUCCGCCGCGUCCCGUCGUCCGGGAUGUCUCGGACCGACUUGUCCCCCGCGCUCGACAUCCUCCGGUCCCUGUACCGGCACACGGAGACCCUGGAGGAGUUCGCGAGCCGCGUGGUGUUCCGCGAAGGACGCAGGGCUGCGCUCGUGGAGCCGUCCGACACGCCCCGCUUCAAGUCCUUCGUCCGCGGCGUCUUCGUGUGCUUCGACAAGGACCUGCAGCAAGUGCCGAGCUGCAGCCAGAUCUGCACUCUCCCCGAGCUGCUGGCCUUUGUCGUCAACAAUCUCAAAAGAAAAAGAAAGAAAAACAUCCUGGCACACGGCUACAGCUUCCUGUCCGUGGCUCAGGAGGAGCGGGACGCCGACCACUUCAAGUUCCAAGGCGACGUGACCCAAAGCGCGGCCUACAUCCACGGCAGCGACCUGUGGAAGAAGGUCACCGCGCGCCUCGGCACGGACCUCGCGCGCUACCUGCUGGAGAGCUGCUCCGCCUUCGUGGCGGUUCCGCCGUCGUGCGUUUUCCAGGUGUGCGGCGCUCCCGUCUACGACAGGGUGUCCAUGACGACAGCCUCCACCGGGUUCUGCCUGCAGCCCCGGUACAGGGCGCGCAACGGCGCUCGGUUCGGAAGGAACCGAGGUGCGGCGACCUGGAAAGGGAGACGGGGAGCCGGCAGCGGCGCUGUCGGCGGGACGAGGCACCGGAGGGAGGCGACGAGGAAAAGAAAGAGGGAUACUGACCCGAAGGACGAGGAGGAGAUUAUGAUAGGAAAGAGGAGACGGGUAGGACCGCAAGAGCCCACGGGGGAACAGGUGGAGGAAGGUCAACAUGUGGAACCGCCGAAGCCUUUGGACAAACGGCCCGUCGAAAUGCAAAAGACCGUAAUUCCCGCAGAGGGAGGACCCAGUUGGAGAUCGGGCACCUCCCCUCCUCUGCCGCCCUCGCAGAGUUUCAUCCGCACGCUGGGCUUCCUGUACGGGGGAAGGGGCAUGCGCGGCUUCCUCCUCAACCGGAGGAAGAGGAGCGCGGGCGGCGGGUGCCGGAGGCUGCGCGGGCGAGACCUGGUGCGGACGGUCUUCUUCGAGGGGCUGCCGUUCCUCAGCGGGCCGGAGGGGAAACCCAAGAAACUGCCCCGGCGCUUUUUCCGCGCGGUGCCCUCGUUCAGUCGGCUGCUGCGUCGACACAGGAGCUGCCCCUACGGCCGCAUGCUGCAGAGGGCGUGCCCCGUGGCGGAUGUGGGCGCGGCCGAACCGGGGCGGUUGAGCGCCCUCUUGCCUCGGCACUGCGCGCCCCACAGGGUCUACCUGUUUGUCAGGGAAUGCCUCUUGGCCGUGAUCCCCUCGGAGCUGUGGGGCUCCGCCCACAACCGACGUCGGUUCUUCUUCAGGGUCCGGGGCUUCCUGUCCAGCGGCAAGUUCGAGCGUCUCUCGCUGGCCGAACUGAUGUGGAAGAUGAAGGUGAACGACUGCGACUGGCUGAAGAUCAGUCCAACUGGUAGGGUCCCGCCCAGUGAGCUCUCGUAUCGCACGCAGAUCCUGGGUCAGCUCCUGGCCUGGCUUCUGGACGGGUACGUGGUGGGCCUGGUCCGAGCCUGCUUCUACGUCACCGAGAGCGUGGGCCGGAAGAACGCCGUCCGGUUCUACAGACAGGAAGUCUGGGCGAAACUGCAGGAAUUGGCCUUCAGGGAUCACCUCUCCAAGGGUCAGAUGGAGGAGUUGACCCCGGCUCAGGUGGCGGCCCUCCCGAAAGCCACCGUCAUCUCCCGCCUGCGCUUCAUUCCCAAGACCGACAGCAUGAGGCCCAUAACGCGAGUCGUCGGAGCAGACGCCAAAACCAGAGUCUACCGGGGGCGUGUCCGGGACCUGCUGGACAUGCUGCGGGCCUGUGUGCGCUCCACUCCGGCCCUCCUGGGCUCCACAGUGUGGGGCAUGACGGAUAUCCACAAGGUGCUGUGCUCUCUAGCUCCGGCCCAGAAGGACGAACCCAAGCCCCUCUACUUUGUUAAGGUGGAUGUGAGUGGCGCCUACGAGAGUCUGCCUCAUGACAAACUCAUUGAAGUGAUUGGCCAGGCUCUGACACCCGUCCAGGAAGAACUCUUUACCAUCCGUCGCUAUGCCAAAAUCUGGGCUGAUUCCCACGAGGGCAUGAAAAAGUCCUUUGUUAGACAGGCAGAUUUCCUGGAGGGUAACAUGGGCUCCACCAACAUGAAAGGGUUUGUGACGUCCCUGCAGAAGAGAGGGAAAGUGCAUCAUGCCAUACUGGUGGAGCAGUAUUUCUGCUCAGACCUUCACGGCAGAGAGGCGUUGCAGCUCUUCACCCAAAUGCUGACCGGCAGCGUUGUUCAGUUUGGCAAGAAAACUUACCGUCAGUGCCGAGGGAUUCCUCAGGGAUCGGUUGUGUCCAGCCUGCUCUGCUGCCUCUGCUACGGGCACAUGGAGAACGUCCUGUUCAAAGACAUCGCCGAGAAGAAAGGGUGUUUGAUGAGACUGGUGGACGACUUCCUUCUGAUCACGCCCGACUUGCACGGCGCACAAACCUUCCUCAAGAUCUUGCUGGCCGGCGUGCCGCAGUACGGUCUGGUGCUCAACCCGCAGAAGGUGGCGGUGAACUUCCAGGUGACGGGCAGCGUGGGCUCGUGUCCCGGCAUCCGGGCGCUGCCCGCCCACUGCCUCUUCCCCUGGUGUGGGCUGCUGCUGGACACGCAGUCGCUGGACGUCUCCAAGGACUACUCCAGCUACGCAGACCUGUCUCUGCGCUACAGCGUGACUUUGGGCUCGUUCCACUCGGCUGGACAGCAGAUGAGGAGGAAGCUGACGGCCAUCCUCAGACUCAAGUGUCACCCGCUGUUCCUGGACCUGAAGACCAAUUCUCUUGAGGUCGUCUACAAGAACAUCUACAAGCUGGUGCUGCUUCAUGCAUGCAGGUUCCACGUGUGUGCCCAGAGUUUGCCCUUCGGCCAGACGGUUGCUAAGAACCCCGACUACUUCCUGCAGAUGAUAUUGGACAUGGCCGACUACGCCAAUCAGCUCAUCAGGCUCAGCAACAAAGGGCAGGUUCUCGGCAGUCAGACCCAGGGUGGCGUGGUGCAGUACGAAGCCGUGGAGCUGCUCUUCUGCCUGUCCUUCUUGCUCGUGCUGUCGCGACACCGGUUUCUCUACAAGUGUCUGCUGCCACAUCUGCACAAACGGAAGCGCAGUCUAGAGCGACGUCUGGGGGCCAUGAGGCUGGCCAGGGUUCGCCAGGCCACGAACCCCAGGACCCCCGUCGACUUCUUGGCCAUCCAGAUGUAGACUACCAGCUGAAUUGCAGCUCCCAUUAGAACCAUAAAAACCCUCAGCAGCUCAAAAGCAAGCGGUAGGUUCCCGUUUUUCAACCUCAAAGCCGUCGUCGCAGGAGGGAUUCGGGUCGGCGGAGGACUUCUUGAUUCUACAGCAGAUCAGUUUGUAGAGCGCCACGAGCGGGAUGGGAAUCACGGGUACUACAGACAGGAGGAUGAUUAUGGCAAACACCCAGUCUGGGUAGGGCUUCGCCUCCGUUUUGGGGAAUUGUUCCUGAAGGAAAAAAACAACAACCAAGAAGUGCAAAUAAUGAAUAUUGUGAGUUGAAAUUGGCUGAUUCUCUUUAUUCUCCCUCUAAAAAAAAAUCAAUAUCUGUCAUAAUUGGGUUAGCUUAGCUUAAAGUCCCUUAUGCUCAACCAAGAAAUGUUUCUAGCACGCAACUUCCCAUAAAACCACAAAGAAAGAAAGAAGAUGCACCUUUUUUAAACCUUUUGAGGUGCUGGUAUAUAUUUAUUUACCUUUUGGACAGAGCUAGGCUAUCGCUCCUUCUUCCAAAAAGCUAAUUUCCUGGGGCGCUAGCUUCAUGAACGUGCAUCGAUCUUCUCAUCUAACUCGAAGCAAAAUGGCGGUUAACUCUUGUGUCCAAGAAUGUAAAAAACUAUUCCUCCUAAACCUGCAUUCAUUUAUUCAUUUUUAGCUGCUUGGGUGCUGCAACAUUCACUCUCUUUUAGCUCUGUUUUCAGUCUCCUCCAAUGGAAAAGAUCUGGCUUUCUAGUCGCUAAAUGCUUGACGUUGGUCACCAGCUAGUUGCUAACUUUGGUGCUUGAAGUGCACACUUGCUUUAUCGUGUGUGUGUGUUUCUUAUAUAUAAUGUAUUCAAGACUGGACUCUGGACUGUACUUACAUAGUCUGGGUUCCAUGUGGGAUACGUUGGGUGUUUUUGUGCCUGGACGAUGAUGUAGAAAAUCAACACCACCAGGAGCAUUAAAGGACUGAUCACCAUCCAGCAUGCCUUCCAGAACAUGUUGGGCUUCUUCCCAGUCAUGAAGUAGAUGUCUUCACUGAAACUGUCAAGGGGAACCAGAGGAAAUGCUCAAGCACACCGGGAUCUCCAUUUGUAUACGAGUCUCAUAAACCGACCGUGUAGAAGUUACUUCUUCAUGCCGUAGACGUAAAUGACGGCGGUGAUCUCGAAGAAUGCGACGAUGAGCAGGGGUACAGAGCCCACGUAGGUGUUGAAGAUCUCCACCCAGUAGUUCCCCGAACCCAUGGUGAAGAUGAGAGCCAUCAGGAAGGCUAUCGAGCAGAUGAUCGCUGAGGAAGUGAGAGAAGAGGCAGCUUUAAAACGUGUUACCGCUUCAAAACGCCAAACUAUCCUCCCCCUUACCCGUUACAACUCCAUCGGGGAUCCACUUGGGCAGCAGUUGGAGGUCUCUGAUGGGCGUGAGGACGCCCUCCAAGUUGCCGAACAUGGAGGAGAGGCCCAGGCUCAGGAGCAUGGUGAAGAACAGUACGGCCCAUAUCUGGGCGCCCGGCAUCGCCACCACCGCUUCGCUGAACACGAUGAAAGCCAGGCCGGUUCCCGAUGCACUCUGGGAAGAGGAAGACGAAAAGGGGGUUGGGGGCAAAGACGGUAAUGAGGAAGCACUCCGGAGGACGAGAAAGGGGAGGAAGACAUUUUGGGAAAAAAACCAGAAUGCAUUGGAUGUUUUUGAGCCUGUGUGAGUUAGGAAGGUUACGAUAAUGUAACCCUUUCUAUAAGCACAGGCGAAGCCCUCUACCAUGUGUGUGGUGGGGGGGGUGUUUGGUGUCUAGGGUGCUGCCCUCUAAACUGGGGGUUUGCGUGUGUGUGUGUGUGUGUCCCCCCCCAAUAGAGUCCAGUAGUACAAUAACGUAACCUUCGCUACAAUACCUGGUCAAGGAAUGAUUGCAGGUCACAGUGCCUCAGGUCCACACGGGCCACCUCAGCUGGAAACGUACGAUUUAGAUACUCCAACCAUUGAUCAUAGUUGUCCACUGUCAUGUUCUGGUCUGAAAGCUCAAAGUGGUUGAUCAGAGCCAAGAUGUUCCUGCAAGAUCGGACCCCCCCCCCC